GACAAAUAGAGACUCUCCCAUAAACGUGAAGAGAAAUCGGUGGAAAGAAACGUAAACAGGGCCCUCAUGACAAACGAGAGUAGACGAAAGAAAACGUGAGCAGUGGAAAGGAGACGUGAACAAGGCCAUUGCUUUCUGAUGAAGCUGGAAAGAAACGUGAAGAGUGGAGCCUAUAAAUAUGAUCCCUCGCUUGCUUUCUCUCUCACACCUCCCUGAAUUCCAUCACUACUUCUUCUAGAGAAUUGACAGAAGACUGAUAAUAUAAGCUUUGUUUUAUUGAGAGAAUGGCUCAAGUUUGAGGAAGAUGAAGAUGCAAUGAAUGGAGGGUGUCAGGAUUCUAAAUCAAUCGAAUCAAUGAUUUACCAGAGGUCCAGAGAUUUGAUCCAAGAGAGCAUAGUUGGACCCAAGUUUACUGGAUGCUUUGAAUGAAAAUCUGGUGAAUUUGGGGUCACUUGCUCAAGUUCUCGGGAAGAAGGAAAGGGGCUGAAGACAGCAGAUGAUUCUAUAGGGUGGGAUUUUGAUCAUCCUCAUCUUAUAAAUUCAUCCUACGCUUCUAAGUACUUCUGCCAUCAGCAUUACCAUCUGGACCAUCAUCCAAAUCCAGUCCGAGUGGUGGAUACCUUUGGUGAAAUAAGGUGAACUUGCCCAGCAAACCACAGGACCUGGGUGCAAAGACGCGCCAGAGUCCGAGUGGUGGAAACCUUUACUUCUGUGGAACUCUUUUUUGAAUGUUCUGAACUCUGAAGUAAAAGUGACAUGGCAUUAUAUUUUGGUAGUGAUGUGAUGCAAUCUUAUUGAUAAGAUAUGGUUGGCUUUUGUUUACACCAGCAGUCAUUUCAAGUAGGUAUUGUAAUCUUUUUGAAAUGAAGGGGUGCUAACAGGUAAGAUUUUGAAAAGAGUUGGAAAUAGUAUGUGCACUUUUGUUCCUCAAAA